GCAGUUACGUUACUGACCAUAUCUUGGAGGUGCCCGUAAGUUGGCUCUUGGCCUUAAAUUAUAAUGCGGUGGAGCUUGUUCCAUCGCUGGUCCUUGGGCAUUGUAAAUUUCCUCCAUUUCUGCCAAUUCAAGCCGUCGCUGCGGCGGCAUUCUAUCUCGGACCUCUCUCUGUUCCUGCGGCCUCUCGGGUUGAGGGUCUGCAUGGGUCCCUGGGUCGGCCAGCAGCGUAAUGGAAGGGUCUCGCCAGUAUUGCUGCUUUUGUUAGCGUCGCCUAGGAACGGCUAGCAGUUUCACCACUGUGAGCCACAGGAGGUUUCGGAUCACAGAACGGCUGAUCCUCGGUGAACUUCUUCAAUCGGUUGACGUGUACAAGUUGUACGUCACCGGAAUUUUUCAGAUGCUGGAUGCGUGCAUUGACGGGACUAGUCAAAUAUAGCACUCUGUAUGGACCUUUGUUCAGUUUUUGGAGUUUGCAGGCGAGUCCUGGUUUGAGACACCAGUCUCUUCGGAGGCGUGGGUUCGAAUCCCACCGCUGCCACCAAAUGUCAGCGGGGCCUUUAGCCCUUACCUUCCGUAAAGACGGCUGCUGGUGAACUGCAUGUAUUUCGGUCGGACACAGGACUUUAUAUAUAUGAUGAGCCCACGUGCACGAAUGUAAGACACGGGGUGACACGUGUGGAUGUAAAACAUAGGGCGGCCGGCUCAGCGCUGCAAGUGCAGCGCCUGAUCACUAUCAUAAUCGUGUACGCGUGCGAAGCCGAAGCCGUGCCAAGCCGGACGUCGAGUUAGGUAGUCUCUGUGGUAGAAGCACAUCCGGUUUCUGGCGGUCCUUACGGGCUCUAGCAGGUGGAGGGCUGGGCUGAGAGCGUCCCAACAAGCGCACUGACCGUUUGGGUUGAUGAGUUCCUGGUUAUAGUGGGCCCCGAAGCUCGGUCGUUGAUUUGGUUCUUGGGGCUGGUGCGGCAGAAUGGGUAUGACGAUGUUGUCGGCCGGGGAUUGCCGACUUACUUGGAGGUUCGGCGUGCCAGUGUGUCCGUAUAGCUGGUCUCGAGCACAGUGUGUAUUUGACAAUUCACGCACGCUUAUAUACAAGACCUUGCACGCACAGCACGACCAUGUAAGGGACGUCAUGCGGCGAGCGUGUGGGCCUAGAGGAACCGCGCGGAAGCCUCUGCAGAGCCGGUCAUUCGUUGAACCCGGACCUGCAGUGGCCGCACGCACAUGAUUUGAAGCGAACAUGAUUUGAUCGCUAACAGUCCCCUUCUUCGGCAAGAAUGGAACAUUCCCUUACUGUGGGGGGGGGGAGGGUGGAGGGCAAUCAUGUUCUCUGCCAGGGCCAGUCAAGUAGCCACACGAGGGACCCGGGCCACGACGGUGGGCAGUGGGCACCAGCCUCCACGGCGACGAAGCGCGCGCCUUUACGACGAUCGGUGUAUCGGCCGCCACGUUGAUGCGGGCGCACCAGCCUCCACGGCGAUCGCCUCCGUAGCGUUACGCACGUCACCGCGGCGCCUCACACGCCUCCGUGGUGUUUUCUGCUUCCACAUCACCGCGUUGGGCUUCUCUGCCGUGGCGUUCUCUACCGUGGCGUUCUCUACCGUGGAGUUCUCUGCCGUGGCGUUCUCUGCCCCGGCGUUCUCCAUACUGUCGUUACCGGGUCGGUUUACUGCUCCGCAGCGGCUCUUCUGUGCUCCGCUGCAUUUUAUGCUCUGUCUUUACCGUGACGACUACCAUUAUUGCUUUCCUUCCACUACGGCUGCUACGUUUUUUGACUGCUCGUCACUCGUCAACCAACGCGAGGUGAAACGGUUAAGGUGUUCAAUUGGAUUGGUAGUAGCAUUAUGUCAGCAGUCGAUAGGUAUUGACCAUUGUCCUUGUGUGUUCACAGAAACUGGCGACUUUGUUUCAUCUGCCCUGAUCGCCGCUUCUGUCGACACCAUCGAUCUGUACCUUCUCAUGAAGGAAGUCUCUCUGCGACUUCAAUCACCAUUGAUGCUCAGCGAUUGACACCAGGACAUUGCUGAUUCAUGGCAAAACGCUCAGGCGGAAAUAGUUCAUAAUUUUAAAUGUUCUUGCUAAUAAAAUAGACGCGAAUAUCAUAGGUUAUUUUGCAUUGUACCAAAAUAUAAUAAUUCUAAACUUAGUGCGGGUAUUUAACCCUAUUAGUGGCAGGCUCCUGGCUACCCCAUAUUAGUGGCAGGGGGGGGGGCUGUUUACGACCCCCCCUUGAUAUCUCGAGAUCUAACCGGCCGAUUUUCAAAAUUCAAACGGCAUUCGAUUUGGCUCAAAGAGAUCUACAUUUCGAAAAAAAUUAAAAAAUGUCAAUAGGGGGGUAGAGGGGGGUAAAAACGGGCAAAUUGCAGAUACAUUUUAGACUGUUUAUCACGGCCAGGUUUCUGAACCAAUCUUAACGCAACUUUUGCCGAUCGAUAGAGAAUGAACCAGGAAUUCACAUGGAUCCUAAAAAUAUGCAUUUUCAAAAAUCAUAGGCGGAUACAGAUCAUUGAGAUUGGGGGUACACAAAAAGUAGGUAUAGUAAAUAAGGUUUUUGUUGGUACUGUUUCUAAAAAGGGUGGCAAUGGUCUUGUUAUGUUACAAUUUUCUUAUGAGAGAACGACUAAAAUUGUAUUGGUCAUGCAUAGGCGGUGUCAGGGCACCUAUGUUGGAAGGUAAAAAAUAACCCCCCUUUUUGGACGCCUGGAUCCGCCUAUUAUAGCAAAAACGUGUCAAAAGAGGAUGCACAAUAACUUUGUAUAUGUUAUCACAUGAUACCUUUCAUUCACUGCUCGUAAAACUGGCGCAGCAUCGUGAUCUUCGCCCAAAUGACUCGCUUCACGAAUAGGACCCCCCAAUUCCCAGUGCUCUGGAGCCGCCCCUGGUAAAGUUAUGAACUUGAAAUUUUCAGGGAAUGUGCCCAAUCUAGUUUUAGGAAAAGUCAGAAAAUUUCAGCAUCGUAGCUUCAGCGGUUUCGGAGAUAUUCCCGAAAAACCUGAGGGGUGGAUAAAAACAACCCCCCCCCCCUGCCACUAUAAUAGGGUUAACGGUCAAUAAGUAAUAACUCAUACACAGACUCACGGACAUGUGCUGACAACUUUGGCCUUAUCCCUGAAAGGCCAGAUUACGCUAAGUGAGCUCACCAGUACCACUCAUUGUGCAAAGUUGCCAUCUUGACGUGUGUCUAGGAUAGAGUUGUACAAACGUGCAACUUGCAGAAAGUGUCCAUGUGGAUCUCAAUGGCCAUAAUUUUGAUAGCUAGCUUCUGUUAAUAAGUUUUCAAUUCACACGACCCCUUAUGUCCAUGCCCAAUCGAGCUGGAAAAAGCAACUAUCCACAUUUACCCGAUACCAAGUUUGCCUAUCUUGAGCACUAAGUCGUGCCUAUCUCAAUAAAAUUGUGUUCCCUAUACGACUUACCAGUGACCUCAUGGAAGUGCGAGUGACUGGACCAGGCGUUCUCGUAACGUCUCUCCGGUACAGACUUGCAAAUACAACUGAAGUCAGCUUGUUACCUCGAACCACCAUGACCUUUCCGGACUAUUUCGUCACACUCGCGCUAAGAAUAAGUAUAUAACAGUGCUUCUAAUGCUGUGCCGUAUGGUCGUGUUGCAGGAUGUCGCCACACCAGCUGACCCGAUCGGUCAACCAUCGAGCCGGAGUUGGAGCUGGGAGCAGCGCAGCUCUCAGGGCUGCAGAUGGACUGCUCUUCUCUGCAGGCUCCGCACCAUUGUCAAUAUAACCAGCAAAGCCACCGUCCGCUACCCAUCGGUCGAACUAUUCGGGCCGACGAACGAUCACGCCCGAUGAGAUGACACAGACGUCAAACCCCGCGCCGACGGAAGAGCUCAGUUAAAGGAAAUAGUUCACUUUUAACAUGGGGUUUUGAACUGGAAUAGCAGUUUCGUAGCUUGAGCUGAGACUAGCACAAAUCAGGAGCUUUUACGGCUCAACGAUCACCCUAGACGAAGAUAUUCCAUUUCUCGUUCCGAAAAGAGUGCCUUGCAGAGGAAUGCGUGCCUUGCACAGGAAUGCAGCCAAGUCAUCGUCAGCCAAUCAGCAUGCUGCUUACAGCCAAUGCAGUAUGCGUAGGUUUGAACUACGCAAUAUGAUUGGUCAACGCGUAAUAAGCUUCCGCGUCAAACAUUAUUUUACAUAGAAUAUAGUUCGUCCUAUAUUAAAAGAUAGAAAAUAAUUGUUUUUACAAAAAGGUUUUAUUUUAUUUUCUGAUUAUUUUGAGCAUAAAAAAUAAUAAAUCCAUAGCAAAAUACUAAUUUCGGGAAACUGAACUGUUUCCUUUAACGUGUCGGUUAACUGACUAAAAGCGGCACAGUCGACACACAUCUCUGUUGCGGGCGAUCAUGUGAAUGUGGAUGAGUCACAGUCGCAGGGUAUGACUGCGUAGUGCAUUCAUGUGUAUGUCUUGAGGGAUUUCCCCGAGAUAUUAUGUCAUUACUGGGAAGAGAUGUGACGAGCAGCCAAUGGGACGAAUGCUAGGUGACAUGACGUUCCUGUAUAGAUGUUUAGUGCGUCUGUCUAGCUGAGCGUUGCUAUCGACCGUUGCACCUGUGAGCUGAAGUGUUUCUGUCGUGCCUGGAUUUUCUCUACUAGUUACAGUGUGAUAAGGCUUUAAUUUGGAGCAUUAUAUGGUCUUAUGCCCGUUUUUGUUGUGGAUUUUAUCAUCAUAUUAUCGUUGUUUCACUUUUCAACAUAUAACAUGAAAAGUAACCACCUAUAUAUGUGUCUUGUCGUGGUCUCAUUCACACCACGAAGCCUGCCCAUUUAUUUGACAUUUUACUGUGCUUCUGAAUGUUUUUAUUGGGUCAACAGACAACAAUACACGUCAGUAGCCAAAUUUCA